rnacentral:rRNA from 1 species
GAUGAACGCUGGCGGCGUGCCUAAUACAUGCAAGUCGAGCGAACAGACGAGGAGCUUGCUCCUCUGACGUUAGCGGCGGACGGGUGAGUAACACGUGGAUAACCUACCUAUAAGACUGGGAUAACUUCGGGAAACCGGAGCUAAUACCGGAUAAUAUAUUGAACCGCAUGGUUCAAUAGUGAAAGACGGUUUUGCUGUCACUUAUAGAUGGAUCCGCGCUGCAUUAGCUAGUUGGUAAGGUAACGGCUUACCAAGGCAACGAUGCGUAGCCGACCUGAGAGGGUGAUCGGCAACACUGGACCUGGGACACGUCCCAGACCCCUACGGAAGGCAGCAGUAGGAAAUCUUCCGCAAUGGGCGAAAGCUGGACGGAGCAACGCCGCGUGAGUGAUGAAGGUCUUCGGAUCGUAAAACUCUGUUAUUAGGGAAGAACAAAUGUGUAAGUAACGAUGCACGUCUGGACGGUACCAAAUCAGAAAGCAACGGCAAACUACGU